rnacentral:rRNA from 1 species
GACGGAGGGGGCAAGCGUUGUCCGGAAUCACUGGGCGUAAAGGGUGCGUAGGUGGCGCCGUAAGUCAGGUGUGAAAUUUCGGAGCUUAACUCCGAAACUGCAUUUGAUACUGCGGUGCUUUGAGGACUGGAGAGGAGACUGGAAUUCACGGUGUAGCAGUGAAAUGCGUAGAUAUCGUGAGGAAGACCAGUGGCGAAGGCGGGUCUCUGGACAGUUCCUGACACUGAGGCACGAAGGCUAGGGGAGCAAACGGG